GACGAACGCUGGCGGCGUGCUUAACACAUGCAAGUCGAACGGAAAGGCCCUGAUCUUGUGGGGUGGUCGAGUGGGGAAGGGGGGAGUAAAACGUGAGUAACCUGUCCUUGAAUUUGGGAUAACAUCAGGAAACAGGGGCUAAUAACGGAUAGGAGCUCCUGAUGCAUGGUGGGGGUUGGAAAGUUUCGGCGGUUGGGGAUGGAAUCGCGGCUUAUGAGCUUGAUGGUGGGGUAGUGGCUGACCAAGGCUUCGACGGGUAGCCGGCCUGGGAGGGUGACCGGCCUCCAUAGUACUACGGUACGCCCCAGUCUCCUACGUGCGGCAGCAGUCGAGAGUAUUGCGCAAUAGCCCCACGCCUGAUACGGCGGCGUCCCGUUCGUAAUGACGUCCUUCGGGUUGUAAACCGCUGUCGCCUGUGCCGAGGCGUUCUUGACGGUACUGAGUCAAAAAGCACCGGCUAACUACGUG
rnacentral:rRNA from 1 species